AAUUAAAUAACUAAUUUAUAGACAUAAAAGGUUCAAUUGAAAUAUUAAUUAAAGAAAUUAGUUCAUGACAUAAUUUAAAACCAACAAUCCUUUAAAAAUCAUCCUUAAGAAAUUACACCAAUUGAAAAAUAAAAGAAGAGAAAACUCUAGAGCCAAUCCUUCAAUCUUCAAGUAAUCCCUUGCUUGGUCUUCAAUUGUGGUAGAAUUCUCUCUCUAAUUCAAUCAAAAUAGCCUUUAUAUACUCCUCUUGUCCAACCACAAUCCUUUAUCAAAUCAACUUCAUCAACAUAACAAUGUACCACUUAAUAUGCAAGUCAAACACGUGGUCAACACGCGCUUCUCUGGUCAACAUUCGUCAGGCUUCAGCGCCCCAGCGCUACAUAUAGUUCAUUUCCCAGUGCCCCGGCGCUGUAAGUUAUUUUAAUUACAAAAUUGUCAUUCUCUGCUCCAAACUUCCUUAAUUGCCCCUCCAGCUCCUGACUCUACAAAAUAACCACUAAACACAAUAAAAAUGCAUCUAAACAACUUGAGAAUACAAUAAUUUAAGCUCAAGUAUAUCUGAUUCAUGGGUAUAUUACCCAAUCAUCAAAUACCCCAAAACUUAAAUCGUUGCUUGUCCUCAAGCAACAAAACAUAAAACAUCACGACAAACUAAACCAAAAUGCAAAUGCACCUCUAACUAUCUAUAUGUUCGUAAUUCCAGCAAUUAAAUAUCACAUCGUAUAUCCAUGAGGCCUCAGAAAAAUCACAAAAACAUGCCAAUACAUCAUGUUAAGGCAGAUCAAUAAUAUCCCAACAAUCAAUGAAUCUAAAUUUGUUAUUACUGAUAUCGUGAGUGUGUUAAACAACCAUGCUAACCCAUGAAAAGCAAAAAUAUGAAAGAUAAUAGAUUUCUUAGAAGGCAUCAUACAGUGUAAACUCGAGAACUCAUCAAAUAAACUUGAUUCGACUAAACUCAAACAAUUACCAAAGUCCAAGGGUCAAAAUGGAAUACUUAUGCUUUUUUUUCAACGGAGGCUUUUUGCACUUUUUUUCUCUCUCAUGACUAUGCACUGUCCUAUUCCCUUAGGCUUUUCAGUGUUACCUUAAUGAGCUUUCGACCAACGACUCCCAAGCCAUUAAGACCUUAGGGCGCUAGACGUAGAGACAAUCCCCUCGGGCUUACUUACUCAAGUAACAAAGGCCAAAAAACUAGACAAGCGUGCCACAGUGUUUAUUUAUUUUAGUUUUUUUAGUUUUUUUUUUGUUUACAGCUUAUAUACUCCAAAUAUUUUUUCCCCAAACUUGAGUUCAUGUCUAAAUUCAGUCAUCACUAGCUAUUCAAAUUGUUCCUUCAUUUCACUAGCAUUCAUCCUUUAGAACUCUAUUAGCUAACCAUUUAAACUUUCUUAGCUAACAUGGUCAUUUUUCAAGUGCUAUCCUGAUAAUAACAGUGUCAAACAGAUAAAGAUGUAAAUUAUGUCAAGAACAUCACAUCACUAUCUUAACAAUCCUUACUAGACUUGGUCAUGCAAUUUUUAAUUUCAUCAUUGGCCUAAACAUACGACGUAACUAUCAAACAACUGGAAUUAACAUGCAAUCCUAAAAUGCAACAUUUAACCACCAUAAAAACCCAAAUUAUCCACAACUAUUAACAAUCUACUAAUGCAAAUAGAAAUUAACUACCCCCAAACUUAUCUAGAGCAAUGUCCUCAUGCGAAAAAUAAAACCAAUAUAAAACAGAGGACUUCCCUGACGAGCUUAUUCCUUGGGUGGAGCAUCAUCAUCCUCGCUCAUGUAUAGAUCAGAAGGGGGAAAUACUGGCAGAAUGGGAGCAGUAGGGAAUUGGCUAAGAUUAACGCCCAGGAACAGUUGGGCGUUCAUGGCAUUUUGAGCAGCAAAUUGGUCAACCAAGUAUUUAUAGAUAACAUCUUGACGUUCCGAGAGGCGGAUAUUCUGUGAUUCUAGAUUGUAA
rnacentral:lncRNA from 1 species